GAUGAACACUAGCGGCAGGCCUAACACAUGCAAGUCGAGGGGCAGCACAGAAAUACAGCAAUGAGUUUUGGUGGCGACCGGCAGACGGGGUCGUAACGCGUGUGCAACCUACCCUUAACCGGGGAAUAACGGAGGGAAACUUCCACUAAUCCCCCAUAACAUCGCAAGAGGCAUCCUUUGGGGUUGAAAGCUCCGGCGGUUAAGGACGGGAACGCGUUGUAUUAGAUUGUUGGUGAGGUAACGGCUCACCAAGUCUACGAUACAUAGGGGGACUGAGAGGUUAACCCCCCACACUGGUACUGAGACACGGACCAGACUCCUACGGGAGGCAGCAGUGAGGAAUAUUGGUCAAUGGACGCAAGUCUGAACCAGCCAUGCCGCGUGCAGGAAGACGGCUCUAUGAGUUGUAAACUGCUUUUGCAAGAGGAUAAUUGCGGGUACGUGUACCCGCUUGAAGGUACCUUGCGAAUAAGGAUCGGCUAACUCCGUGCCAGCCGCCGCCGUAA
rnacentral:rRNA from 1 species